GGUUANGGCGCAGCCUGAUCCAGCCAUGCCGCGGUGAGUGAAGAAGGCCUUCGGGUUGUAAAGCUCUUUCGGCGGGGAAGAAAUUGCACUCUCUAAUACAGGGUGUAGAUGACGGUACCCGCAUAAGAAGCACCGGCUAACUACGUGCCAGCAGCCGCGGUAAUACGUAGGGUGCGAGCGUUAAUCGGAAUUACUGGGCGUAAAGCGUGCGCAGGUGGUUGUGUAAGUCAGAUGUGAAAUCCCCGGGCUCAACCUGGGAACUGCAUUUGAGACUGCACGGCUAGAGGAUGGCAGAGGGGGGUAGAAUUCCACGUGUAGCAGUGAAAUGCGUAGAGAUGUGGAGGAAUACCGAUGGCGAAGGCAGCCCCCUGGGCUAUUUCUGACACUCAUGCACGAAAGCGUGGGGAGCAAACAGGAUUAGAUACCCUGGUAGUCCACGCCCUAAACGAUGUCAACUAGAUGUUGGAAGGGUUAAACCUUUUAGUGUCGUAGCUAACGCGUGAAGUUGACCGCCUGGGGAGUACGGCCGCAAGGCUAAAACUCAAAGGAAUUGACGGGGACCCGCACAAGCGGUGGAUGAUGUGGAUUAAUUCGAUGCAACGCGAAAAACCUUACCUACCCUUGACAUGUCAGGAAUCCCGGAGAGAUUUGGGAGUGCUCGAAAGAGAACCUGAACACAGGUGCUGCAUGGCUGUCGUCAGCUCGCGUCGUGAGAUNUUGGGUUAAGUCCCGCAACGAGCGCAACCCUUGUCAUUAGUUGCUACAUUUAGUUGGGCACUCUAAUGAGACUGCCGGUGACAAACCGGAGGAAGGUGGGGAUGACGUCAAGUCCUCAUGGCCCUUAUAGGUGGGGCUACACACGUCAUACAAUGGCUGGUACAAAGGGNUUGCCAACCCGCGAGGGG
rnacentral:rRNA from 1 species